rfam:Salinivirga cyanobacteriivorans strain L21-Spi-D4 chromosome, complete genome.
ACAACGAAGAGUUUGAUCCUGGCUCAGGAUGAACGCUAGCGGCAGGCUUAACACAUGCAAGUCGAGGGGUAACAGGUUCCUUCGGGAAUGCUGACGACCGGCGCACGGGUGAGUAACGCGUAUGCAACCUUCCUGUAUCAGGAGGAUAGGCCUUGGAAACGAGGAUUAAUACUGCGUAAAAUUAUUGUAUCGCAUGGUAUAAUAAUCAAAUCUACGGAGGAUACAGAUGGGCAUGCGUGCCAUUAGCUAGAUGGUAAGGUAACGGCUUACCAUGGCCAUGAUGGCUAGGGGUUCUGCAAGGAAGAUCCCCCACACUGGUACUGAGACACGGACCAGACUCCUACGGGAGGCAGCAGUGAGGAAUAUUGGUCAAUGGAGGCAACUCUGAACCAGCCAAGCCGCGUGAAGGAAGACUGUUCUAUGAAUUGUAAACUUCUUUUGUGACAGAGUAAAGAUAGCUACGAGUAGUUAUUUGCAAGUAUGUCAUGAAUAAGCAUCGGCUAACUCCGUGCCAGCAGCCGCGGUAAUACGGAGGAUGCAGGCGUUAUCCGGAUUUAUUAGGUUUAAAGGGUGUUCAGGCUGUCUGGUAAGUCAGAGGUGAAAGUCGGUUGCUUAACGAUCGAAUUGCCUUUGAAACUGUCAGACUUGAGUAUGGAUGUGGUAGGCGGAAUGUGUAGUGUAGCGGUGAAAUGCAUAGAUAUUACACAGAACUCCAAUUGCGAAAGCAGCUUACCAAACCAGCACUGACGCUGAAGCACGAAAGCGUGGGUAGCGAACAGGAUUAGAUACCCUGGUAGUCCACGCAGUAAACGAUGCUCACUCGCUGUUGGCAAUACACCGUCAGCGGCUAAGGGAAACCGAUAAGUGAGCCACCUGGGGAGUACGAUCGCAAGAUUGAAACUCAAAGGAAUUGACGGGGGCCCGCACAAGCGGUGGAACAUGUGGUUUAAUUCGAUGAUACGCGAGGAACCUUACCUGGGCUUAAAUGUGAAGUGCAUUGUUUGGAAACAGACAUUUCCUUCGGGACUCUUUACAAGGUGCUGCAUGGUUGUCGUCAGCUCGUGCCGUGAGGUGUCGGGUUAAGUCCCAUAACGAGCGCAACCCCUAUUGUUAGUUACCAGCGCGUGAUGGCGGGGACUCUAACGAGACUGCCGGUGUAAACCGCGAGGAAGGUGGGGAUGACGUCAAAUCAGCACGGCCCUUAUGUCCAGGGCUACACACGUGUUACAAUGGUCGGUACAGAGGGCAGCUAGGCAGCGAUGUCAAGCGAAUCUCGAAAGCCGAUCCCAGUUCGGAUUGGAGUCUGCAACCCGACUCCAUGAAGGUGGAAUCGCUAGUAAUCGCGCAUCAGCCAUGGCGCGGUGAAUACGUUCCCGGGCCUUGUACACACCGCCCGUCAAGCCAUGGAAGUCUGGGGUGCCUGAAGGCCGUAACCGCAAGGAGCGGUCUAGGGUAAAACAGAUGACUGGGGCUAAGUCGUAACAAGGUAGCCGUACCGGAAGGUGUGGCUGGAACACCUCCUUU